rnacentral:rRNA from 1 species
GUCUAUGGCCAUGCCACCCUGAACGUGCUCGAUCUCGUCUGAUCUCAGAAGCUAAGCAGGGUCGGGCCUGGAUAGUACUUGGAUGAGAGACCGCCUAGGAAUACUAGGCGCUGUCGUCA